UCCCUGGUGGUCUAGUGGUAAGGAUUUGGCGCUCUGACCGCCGUAGCCUGGGUUAGAUUCCCGGUCAGGGAA
rnacentral:tRNA from 1 species